UCGUUCCGCGGAGGUGCUGCCUCACUCCAAGUCCAGCAAUGAGUACGGUAAUGCCGACAUUGCCCAGAGAGGGUGAAAGGCCCGUGGGAGUGAGGGCGCACAAAUGCCAGUGCCUUCCUGGAUAGACCUUGGAGUCGGGUUGUUUGUGAAUGCAGCCCAAAGUGGGUGGUAAACUCCAUCCAAGGCUAAAUACUUGCACGAGUCCGAUAGCGAACAAGUACCGUGAGGGAAAGUUGAAAAGUACUUUGAAGAGAGAGUAAACAGUGCGUGAAACCGCUCAGAGGUAAACGGGUGGAGUUGAACUGUGAUCUCUGUGAAUUUAGCUGGUGAGCAUGGUUUGGGCUUGGUCAAAUUGGUUGAAGCCGGGAAUCUGCGUAGCAGCAGGUCCUCACCUUCUGGUGGGGAUGCGCGGUGCACUUAUCAAGUGUUGCGCGUUCCAUGUUUUUCGUGCCAGCUUGCCAGUGCACUUUUGCAGAGUGGUCACCACGACCGGCAUUGCUGUCUGGCUGUUGUGGUUAAACCGGCCUUCCUUUGUCCUUGUGGCUUUGGAUUGUCGGGAUGGCAGGUAACUCGCUUGCUUUGCUUGUGGUUCGCUGCAGGUUUUGGCUCUCGGGUGUAAUCGGCUGACCGCAUCGGUUCUGUGCAGUAUGUCGGAGAUGGCGGCUUGUGGUACAUGCGUGCGUGCCAGUUGGCUGGCGUGUCCGUGUUUGGUUGUCAUGUUGCUUGUGUAAACAGGCCUGGCGAUAGCUCGGAUUCGUUUGGCUGGCGGUUGUGUGCGUAGUGCUUUCCAGGGCCAACAGUCUGUGGUGUUGCGGUAGACGAUCCACCUGACCCGUCUUGAAACACGG
rnacentral:rRNA from 1 species